GGGGAAUAUUGCACAAUGGGGGAAACCCUGAUGCAGCGACGCCGCGUGGAGGAAGAAGGUCUUCGGAUUGUAAACUCCUGUUGUUGAGGAAGAUAAUGACGGUACUCAACAAGGAAGUGACGGCUAACUACGUGCCAGCAGCCGCGGUAAAACGUAGGUCACAAGCGUUGUCCGGAAUUACUGGGUGUAAAGGGAGCGCAGGCGGGAAGACAAGUUGGAAGUGAGAUCUAUGGGCUCAACCCAUAAACUGCUUUCAAAACUGUUUUUCUUGAGUAGUGCAGAGGUAGGCGGAAUUCCCGGUGUAGCGGUGGAAUGCGUAGAUAUCGGGAGGAACACCAGUGGCGAAGGCGGCCUACUGGGCACCAACUGACGCUGAGGCUCGAAAGUGUGGGUAGCAAAC
rnacentral:rRNA from 1 species